UCGAUGCAGGAACUGUUAGUGUUACUGGCUUGAAAUGUAGUUUCAAAGCAAUGUUGGGACUUUUUAAAGUUGAAGUUUUAACAAUAUCCUGAAAUACUUUGAUGAACAUUUUUCAACAAUUGAUUAGAAUGAGGAAAUCAACAUUUUGUGUGUUUACAAGUCUCUAAAAGAGGAAUUCAGUGAGUUAUGAAGUGGCCCUUUGGAAAUGCUUUGAACUAUUAAACAGCGAUUUUCAAAAAAGAUUGUGUAGCAACUUACGGGUGGCCUGACAACGACCUCAGUAGUGCAGUCACAGAGUAAUGGUGCUUAAAAGCUACUGUCAAAAAAGAUUGUGUAGCAACUUUCCCCUGACAAUGACCUCGGUAGUGCAGUCACAGAGUGAUGGUACCUCAGGUUCAAGUUAAGGCAAAAGAAGAGCUCUAAAAGGGAUUUUCAUCUCAAUAUAAUAACUGUAAUUUCUUGAAACAUAAACUUACUUUAUUUACUGUGUUUUUUAUAUCAUAUAACAAUGAUACAAUAAUGUGUGUUGUAAUUAGGGAUUUAUUUCUUAAAGGGAUGUCAUAGAGUAAAUUAUUUUAUUUUAUUGAC